rnacentral:lncRNA from 10 species
GGCUGAAGAUGGCUGCUAGAGCCCCAGCUACAUCCACAUUCCAGUCAGCGCAAAGGAGGAAACAGCAAAAAAGGCAAACACCUUCCCUUAGAAAGACUGCCUGCAAAGCUGAGCUGUGUCUGGGCUGAUUCAUUUGUGAAGUCAAAGGGCAUUGUGCUUGGAGCUGGCAAAGGACUCUGUCCUGGAUCUCUGAAGGCCGGCUUCCUCCAGUGGCCAGGAGGCGUCCCUUUCCCAACAGUGGGUGGGAUCCAGGGUCAGCUCCUAUCCAGCAGAAUGAGGCCGGGUAGCUGGGCCCACGAGGGUCUGCUCUCGAGCCUUUCUGCGAGAACCUGGGCCUGGUGUCACCAAGAGGACAGCAGCCCCUUGAUGGAAGGUCCACUGUGGUCCAUAUUAAUGGCAUCAUCCCCAGCUUUAACUUACGUCCAACAAGCAUCUUAAAAUACUGAGAUUGCACAGGAAACUAGGAAUUUAUGAUAAAAAUAA